rnacentral:rRNA from 1 species
AUGAGUGUGUUAAUAUUUGAAAGCUCUGCCGUGGGUUAUAUGGAGGCUGAACGUCUGCAUAAGCACUUCGUCGGUGAAAGAACAGACAGGGAAGCAUGGCAAGCUCCGUCUAAGCGUCGGUUCCUACCUGGUGGGAAAAGACUCUUAUAUGGUUUCUUAGCCAACAAAGAAGAUAUGGAGAUUUUCAAUAAGCACCACCAAGGAAAAAGUUGCCUGAAAUACGAUAUGAGAUCUUAUAAUGAAAUGGUAGUGGUAGGUAUGAAACAAAUGAGUCUAGACAAUCAGCGACUGAAUCAUAUGAAGAACAGGGUGGUGAAGACAGAGAAACACUCUAAAGUUGUAGAAGAAUCGCUUGGUGUCGUCACUCAGAAAUGUCGAGAGACUAGUGAAGAGAAUAAGCUGCUCAUGCGUCGGAUUAAAGAGAAGCACUUGGAGCAUGAGGAAGAGAUGUCUUCCCAGGAGAAAUUUUUCGAUGACCAGAUAGAAAACCUUUACAAGGCCAUGGAGGAGAAAGAAAGUGAAUAUGAGAAGAGACUGCAGGAGGAGCGUGCAAAGGCUAGACAGUAUGAUGUGGAUUCUGGGACUACUGAAAAUCGCAAGCUAAGGAAGCAGGAAGUGCAGCGUUUCAUAGAUUGCCAGGCUAAGGGCAUGGAGAAGUUUAUGUCUAAAAGGGACGAACUGAUAAAGGCACAUGAGAAGAAGAAGAUGCAGCUCAAGAGAGAGUAUAUGGAGAAGGAGGUGGAGCUCGAGAAAGAGCUCGAUGGCGCUCUCACGGUUCUGAUGGAGAAGAACAAGCCAGACACCUUCAAGGCUUCUAGCUACAGCUCGUGA